UCUCCUGACCUCAUGAGCUACCAUGCCCGGCCAUUCAAAAUUCUUAAUGCUAUAAUAUUUAGCCCUACUGGCACAUUGGAUUUUAAAUGAUCCGUUUUUAAAAUAAGAAAACUGUAGCCAUUUUUAACCUGUCUUGAUGCCAUUUUAUAUUAAUGUUUGCUUUAUAAGUGGUUCCCCUUGGUCUGUAAAAAUUAGGUGCUGAUUUUUAUAAUCUUAAAGAUAUCUUUGCUAAGAAAAAGUAUCUUAAAACAUUCUCCUGGAGGGAAGGUGGGCAAAGUGGUGAAUUGGGAAGGUUUUGGAUGUGUUAGAUGGACUGGUGGUUGAAGAGACUGAGGGUAGAGAUGUAGACACCAGUUAAGACUUUGAAUUGUACAGGCCUGAGGUAUAGGGGGAAUCGACUAGGCUAACAGCAAAAGUGAAGAGAAUAGAAAAGAAACAGUACUUGAAAGCAUAGACGAAAUAUAGCAAAGCAGGAAACCUAGUUGAUGGCAUUUCAAGGCAUCAUCUACUUUUGGAUUUGUUGGAUAUGUGUAGAAUAAAAGAACAUUUAAUUAGGUGAUCCCUUAAUUGGCUGAAUGAUUGGAUUAAAUAUCAGUCUGUUAGUGGUUUCAAAGCAGUGUUUGUAGGUCUGUCUUGUUCAUGUCUUCCAGAUUUUCUGUAAAACAGUUGUUUCAAUAAGGAAAUAGAAGGAAAGCUCGUCACUGUCUUGGGCAGCAUUAAGCUGAGAAGGGUUGAGUAUAAACCAGAUGACAAAAUCAGGAGUCAAACUGAUAUGUGAUGAGAUGACUAAAACAAUAGUUUAAUAUAGAUACAUGUAAAAUCCUGCUCUUUGGUACCUAAAGUCAGAAACAAAAUGACAAGAGGAGGCAGAUGUCUACUAAAGUGUGGAAAAACUAUAGGUUUUGUUGACAGUGAGAAUGGAAAAGGUGCAUUCUAGAGUGCUGAAUCCUGACCUUGAGGGACAUAUGAAGGUUUGGAAUAAAUGCAAUGAGGAAUGUUCCUGAAAAGAAUAAGAGACAAAGGCUAGUUUGAGCAUCAGUGAGGAAAACCAGGACAUGAGUAUACAUUUUGGUCACCAGCAAGACUGAGAUGCUGUAAAGCUGAGGACAGGUAUGAAGUUGAAGGUGGUUCAGGUUUGGGUACCAAGGUAACAUAACCUGAAGAAGGCAAAGCCAUCUAGGUCAGUCACAGCAGGAGUGAGGUGGCCAACUGGAGCAGAUACCUCAACGAAGCUAUGAAUGGCUCUUCAUUUGCUCCUUAACAACUCUAACCUCACAUAGUUGUCACUUGCUUCUCUUUUUCCAUUGCUAUCAGCACAUUAUGUGUUCACAUGUUCUUCCUGCUCCUGUAAAUUCCUCAAGGCCCCUUUUGUACUUACAUCUCUUCACAGUGCUUGCACCACCCUGCCUCUCCUUCCUCGACGCAACAGAUAUGUUAAAAAAAAAAAAAAGUGCUGGUUUUUUUCCAAAGGAAAAUCACCUCUCCAGGAGAAGGUGUUGAGGCUCAAAGAGUGGAUCUCUUGAGGUGUAGGAAGAGGCACACUUUAGAACUAGCAGUUCACCAGAACUGGGUUCUAAAUGGUUCCAACUCUUAUACCAGCUUUUAAUAUCUUGAGCUCUCAGUUUUCUCAACAGGAUAUGAGUAUUGCAAUUUCUGCCCUGCUUUAGAAGUUAAGAUGAACUUGAAAGUGUGAAAACACUUUUAACAAUUAUAAAGCACAGUGCAUGGUAAGCCUAUUGACUGGGCAACUGAAACAAUUCUGUGAAGAACCGUUCUGUCUACCCCAGGAUGUUUGGCUUAAAUAAAAAUUUCCAAAGUUGAAAAAGACCCUCAAGUCCCAACCGGGUCAUAAAUACCAGGCAUUAUGAUGGCUACCCAGGAAAUUCAUCUCAUUAGAAUAAUAGUAUUUGCAUCCAUUUCCAUUUUUUCUGUUUUUAGUCAAUAAUAGAAUCUUUUUACCUUCUAAAAAGAAGCAGCUUGCUAUCUUCUGGGUGGUAAAUAAAUGAGUGUGCUAGUGAUCCAGUCACUCAGUUUUUUAUUAUUUAUCAUUUAACUGAACGCUAGAGCUACUCUGAUGGUUUGGGACCAUUACCCAGCUUUCAUUGCUCUUUUGUUCCUCGUCAUAUCUUCAUUCCCAUAAUGAUCCAUGGGGUAGAUCAGUACUUCCCAAACAUUGCUGUACAUUGGCGUCACUAGGGAGAACUGUAAAACAUACUGGUACCAGGCUCCCAGCUCAAGCAUUGUGGUCGAGGGUGUGGCUUGAGUGAGCACUGUUGCUUAAAAAAUUUCCAAUGAUUCUAAUAUGUGGCCACACCUAGGGAACUACUGAGUGAAACAGGGAAGCAUUGAGAACACAAUGAUGAAAUGCAAGAAGUUAAUGAGCGUUAAAGUACACAGGUCAGUAUAUUAAACUUUGGUUUUUGUUCUUCUUUUUAGAGACAGGGUACAGUUCUAGCUCACUGCAGCCUCGAACUUCUGAGCUCAAGUGAUCCUCCUGCCUCAGCCGAGUAGCUAGGACAACAGAAACCAUUGCACGUCUGCCCUAUCCAGGAACUAUUCUAGGCAGAUGGAGAACCAAGAUGAGAAAGAAUUCCCCGUAUCUGAGACUGAUGCAGGAACAAUUAUAAUACCACAAUAAGUGCAAUAAUGAUGUCAAACAGGGUAUGGUGAAAGGUUAAAUUCAACAAACCUGGGGACCCAGGGUUAAAGAAUAUCAAAGAAAGUCCACGGACAAGAAUUGAGAGACGGACGAGGUUUUGCUAUAUGGGAAAAAUGGAGAGCCCAGACUGAAAACAGCUGCUACAAUGAAGCAGGAGAGACAGUAUUUCUUCAUGAUCUACAAACUCAUAAGGUAAGCAAUAGUGCUGAAUUCCCUACUCUUCAAGAUUUAUUGAGUUACAGCUGUUUAAAAUACAGUAAAAAUCUGUCUAACACAAGCUAAUGGGAAAGACUUAUCUGAUUAACCGGAUUCUUUGAGAUAGGGGAUUGUAUUGCUUUUAGUUAUAUAAACAUCACUUAAAUGGAGAACGUAGCUGUGUUUGAUACUAAAUUUUGGAAACUGACAAUGAAACAUUGGCUUAUAAAUGGGCGCUUUUGGCAUGUUGUUUUCUAGUAUUUAAACCUCUCCCCUUACAAUCUUGAUUAUGCUGUGAAUUUGCUAAGCUCACUUUCCUUUUGCUGUCAUCUAAAGCAAAAUAAAUCUUGAAUAAUAAGUAGCAUGCUAUUUUGUGCAAAAUAAUACUGAUAACAUUUUGAUUAGCAAAAUGAAGUAAUAUGCCUGAAAUAAAUAAUAUGUUUAGUAAAUAUGUACUCAUGGGUCAAUCUGAUGACAGAAAGGAAAAGAAAGCUUAAAGAUAAAUAUCUCUGUGUCUUCAAUGCCAUCUGUACAACUUCAUGUCAAGAUCUAACAUAAUUAGGAAAAAAAAAAAAACUCCGUCUUAACGCCAACACAACUAAUUCCAUGAAGUUUGGAUCAUCACAAAACUCAAAUUGUUUUAUGAUUUCUUUUAUCCAUGUCUUUUAACUGUUUAGUACAUUUUAGUGUAUAUACAGUUUUAUGGAAUGUGGAGGCAGCAUGUGAUUUAAUAUUUUCUAUCCAGACUGUUUACUUUGUAGUCAAACAUUCUUCAAAAACAUUUUAGUCUCCCCUCCACUCCCCAACUCUGAUUUUCUAUUCAAGGCUGUCAGUUCCUAUUUAGAAAGGUGAAUUGAGACCUGGAGUCUCAAGGCCUCUGAUACAGAAGGAACUUUUGCCAUCCUUAAUAGUUUUCUUUGAAUUUGCUGCCAGGUCUGAUUCUACACAUAAAUAUUUAAAUGAGUUGGUGGAAAAAAACCUUUUUUUUUUAAACAAGAGUGAGGAAGCAAGGAUACCAUAUAGUAAUUUAUGACAUGAGAAAGAACUUUCAUUCCUUUAUACUUCUUUUUGCAAACUUCGUGGUUAUUGUCAAAUUUGCAGAUGUCUUUCCUACUGCUCUACAUUAAACUUUCAGUCUCCUGUGGAAUUGCUGAGUCAACCAGGAGAUAAUGCACCACAUUUGCAGGAGCCCAUUCUGUUUUAAUUAUCUCCCCUUAAUGUCGCCAAGGAGGUGGGGUUGAGAGGACCCUUUGCUGUGACCCUUAACUCUUGGAAAGUGAGCAUCUUCUUAUGAGAGCCAGCUUUGAGCAGUUCACUUCAGACUGCUGACAUGUUUCUUUUUUACCUCUUCAAAAAGCAGAGCCUGCUUCGGAAUGCAGUGGAAAUAACCCACCACAGAAGAAAUAGUCUGUAAACCGAAAAACUUGUGAAUGUUGGCUUUUUGCCACAGCCUUCUGCAGGGAAGGAAGAAACCUUGUCUCUUUCCACCACCUCACUUCAUCUUUCCAGCCAGAGGUCACUCACCCAAUUUAGACAGGAAGAAGGCCCUGAGAGGGGAGCCAGGCCCUAUGCUUACUGGUCCAUGCCUGAAUGGUCCAAUUGGAAUAUAAUGUGAACCACAUAAGUAAUUUUUAAUUUUCUAGUAGCUGCAUUGAAAAAGUAAAAAGACAUAGAUAAAAUCAAUAAUAUAUUUUAACUCGUAUCCAUAAUAUUAUAAUUUCACCAUGCAAUCAAUAGAAAAUUUAUUAACAAGAUAUUUUGCAUUCUUUUUAACAGAAUCUUCAAACUCAGGUAUUUUACACUUAUAGCAUAUCUCAAUUCAAACAUUAAAUUUUCAUUAGAAAUACAUAUUUGGUUAUUUAAUUUUUAUAAAAUUAACAGCUGAAAAGAUAGAUUCACAAGUUGUUUCAAGUAUACUAAAAAUUGCUUUUUAAUAACUGAAGUGUCAGCUUUUUAAAAUAAAUUGAAAUUAAGUAAAAGAAAAAAAAAGAUUUUCAUAGGUCCAUAGCCACAUUUAAAGGGCUCAACUGCCACGUGGCUGAUGGCUACCAUAUCAACAGCAGAGAAUCAUACACUUGUGAGUUAACGUGUGAUCCGCAAAAUGGCAGCAUCAGCAUCACCUAGGAUGUUAUUAAAAAGGCAGAAUCUCGGGCCUCACUCCAGACCUAUGGAAUUGGAAUCCACAUUUUAACAAGACCACCAGGUGACUCAUAUGCAAAAUAUAGUUGGGCAAUACUGAUCUAUUUAACACAUCAGGAAAAUUAGUAUUAUUGCAUUCUUUUUACAGAUGAGUAUAGUGAGGCUCAGCAAAUGUGCUGAAAAUCACAGAGUUAAUAAGUGAGGGAGCUGAAAUUCAAACAAAAGCCUUGCCCAUUUUUAAUCCCAUAUCUUUCUAAUACUUAUCACAUUCUUUCUAAUAGUUGUCACCUAAAGCAUGGAACAUGGUACUUGCUAGUGGUAUGAAAGGUAAUUUUAAAUCAUGCCCAGAGAGCAUUUUUAAAAGCACCAAAAUACGAAGUUUGAAAAAGUGUGUCCCUUUUCCAUCGUUUUUUAAUUUAGAAAAACUAGACAGUAAAGUCAAGGAUCAGAUCGCUGCAUGCUCCCGUUAUGUUUUCAAUAACUAACAUUUGCUGAAAGUGUGCUCCAGCCUCAGAACCUUUGGCAAAGUAUCUGGCUAAGUCUUCCUAGCUUUAUUUCCUUUCAUUACAUUUAUUCUUACUUUUACCUUCUAUUUAUGGCAAAUGAUCCUGGCUUUUCAUUUAUAGGCUGAUAUAUAAAGUAGAUGUAUUUAAGAUAGAGCAGUUGUAAAUGUGCAUACAGAUGGCUCACAAAUAUGGCCACAUGGGAAGGAAACCUGGGAAUGACUGAGGUAUGAGAAACACACCAGAGACAGUCACCAGCAAUUCAAGCCCUAGAGAGAAGACUGAAGUACCCCGAGUAUAGUGAACUUUUGUUGUGAGUCAGCUGAACUUGUCUCCCAAUGCCAGUGCCCCUUCAAAGCAUUUAACAAUCAUUAUAAUUGUGUGUGAGUGAGUGUGUGUGUGUGUGUGUGUGUGUAUUGUGGGUGCUAACUGUAUUUGUUUGGUUGCUGAUAUGGUUUGGCUGUGUCCUGACCCAAAUCUCUUUUGAAUUGCAGUUCCCAUAAUCCCUACGUGUCAUGGGAGAUAACUGGUGGGAGGUAAUCGAAUCUUGGGGGCAGUUACCCCACUGCUGUUCUUGUGAUAGUGAGUGGGUUCUCAUGAGAUCUGAUGGUUUUAGAAGGAGCUUUUGCCUCUUUGCUCAGCAUUUCUCUCUCCUGCCACCACGUGAAGAGAAUAUGUUUGUUUCCUCUUCGGCCAUGAUUAUAAUUUUCCUGAGGCCUCCCAGUGAUGCAGAACUGUGAGUCAAUUAACCCUUUUUCUGUUAUAAAUUACCCAGCCUUAGAUAUUUCUUCAUAGCAGCGUGAGAACAUACUAAUACAGUUGGCCAGCAUUUUCUACAUCCCAGCACAGAAAAACAAAAAGUCAGAUACCUACCCUCCUCAACACAACAGUAAGGCUAUGGGCUUAAGACAUAAGCCCAGACAAUUGGACACUGCUGCUGGUUGAUGAAUAUAGAACAAGUGCAUUAAAGGAGCAAGGGCAGCUUACAGUUCAUAUGGCCAUGGUGGAGACAGCACAAUGGCUGCAUUAAUGUCCUAUGGUGGCAGUGAUUUCAGUGGCAGUAUUCAGCAAGGGCAACAGGAAUGCCCUGACCAGGUUUUAACCCAGCUCAGGAGCCCAUACCCUCUUAGUAAUGCUCUAUUUUAUAGGUUCAAAUGCUCUGUGGUGUCUGUGGGUACACAGCAGUGUUCUGAAAGUACCUCUUCCAGAGGUAACCAGAGUUGGUUUCUGUCUUUUGCAAUUAAAAACCUGGACUGUUAGAGUGGGAUUCUUUAAUUGUCCACCUACCCCACUAAACUACCAGCCCCCAUGAAAGUGGAGUUUAUAUCCACUUGUUCACAUUGUGUAAUCCCCUGUGGCCUGUUCCAUGGCUUCAAAACAUAGUUGUUGCUCAGUAAUUAUUUGGUGAAUGAAUGAAUGAAUGAGUGUUGAGCAUAUAGGACAUGCCAAUAAAAGAGGAAUGUAGAAAAGUGA